GACGAACGCUGGCGGCGUGCUUAACACAUGCAAGUCGAGCGGUAAGGCCCUUUCGGGGGUACACGAGCGACGAACGGGUGAGUAACACGUGGGUGACCUGCCCUCAGCUCUGGGAUAAGCCUGGGAAACUGGGUCUAAUACUGGAUAUGACUCCACGGUGCAUGUCGUGGGGUGGAAAGCCUUGUGCGGCUGAGGAUGGGCCCGCGGCCUAUCAGCUUGUUGGUGGGGUGANGGCCUACCAAGGCGACGACGGGUAGCCGGCCUGAGAGGGCGACCGGCCACACUGGGACUGAGACACGGCCCAGACUCCUACGGGAGGCAGCAGUGGGGAAUCUUGCGCAAUGGGCGAAAGCCUGACGCAGCGACGCCGCGUGAGGGAUGACGGCCU
rnacentral:rRNA from 1 species